CGUCAAACCAACGUUCGCGGACAACAACACGACAGGUAUGGCACUCUGCUACCAAGAAGCUAAUACCGGAUAAACCAAAGUGUUUGUUCAACAACAGGCUUGGAAAUGACCAGAGAAACCAAGACCAGCCGGACCCCCUCUGAUACCCAUGGAUGUAUGAUUGCAACUGAAAAGUAGUUUGCAAAGUUUAGAGCUUGUAUGGAGCAGAGAAGAGAUGGAGACGGACUGGUACCUGGAGGUGGCUGAGCGCGGUCCACACUGCAGGAAGUAGGGAGACGAAACUGAAUCCCUGCAAGGAGCAAGCAGCACCAGUUAGAAAAGGACAGAUACAGCUAGUGAGAAAAAGUUUGCAGCCUUCGUGGAAAUGCCGGGGCAGAGAUGUGGGCUCAAGAAUAGGACUGUGCUGCUGCUCCUGGUGUUUGUGCUUUCCGGAUUAAUGCAAGACCAGAGUCUGUGAUCACCAGGAACAGAUGAAUAUCCACCAUCAGAAAAUCAAGCCCAGUAGGUGAGAAACACUACAGCCAUGACUAUUCAACAUCACGAAUAAUUACAUUUAAAUGAUUCUGUGUAUUAUCACUAUAAAUUCACUGGUAUUUCUGUUGUUAUCCUGCUCCACACACUGCAAUGAAUCAGCUU